UACGAAGGGGGCGAGCGUUGUUCGGAAUUACUGGGCGUAAAGGGCGCGUAGGCGGCGAUCCGAGUCAGAUGUGAAAGUCCUGGGCUUAACCUGGGGACUGCAUUUGAUACUGGAUUGCUUGAAUGCAGGAGAGGAUAGCGGAAUUCCCAGUGUAGAGGUGAAAUUCGUAGAUAUCCGGAGGAACACCGGUGGCGAAGGCGGCUUCCUGGACCGACACUGACGCUGAGGCGCGAAAGCGUGGGGAGCAAACAGG
rnacentral:rRNA from 1 species